AUACAUCACAGGCACUUGAGAAGUACAACAAAGAAAAUGUAGGCUCUCGUCACACUUGUCAUUUGUCUUUCUACUUGUUUUUUUACCUUAUUAUCUCUAGAAAGCUGAGAAAUUUCCUGUGUAUUCAUGUUAGGGCACUACAUAUGAGUUUGAUAAGAUUAUCAAGGUUAAUGGAGAAGGCUGUAGAGACAGAAUUUACUAUAUAACCCUUUCGGUCAAGAAUGGCAAGGAGAAAUAUUUUCAAGUUAAGAUGGUGACACGUCUUCUAAGGAAAUCUUUGAAGUUCCCAUCAUCAGGCCAACCAAGGGUAAUGAGAUCUGUUGUACAAUCCUUUUUGUUUUUUGUUUUAAGUUUCAUAACUUUAAAUAUCUCAUAGAACGAAUUAGCAGUUUAUGGUAGAUAAGUUUGUCCUGCUUAAUUAAGUCAAAUGGGAAUAAAGGUAUUUCUGUUGGAAAAUAAAUAUAGAUAUAAUAUUCAGUUUGGUAUAAGCUUGGAGCCUGGAAAUUAUUUACGAAAACCUAAUCUGCUUCUUGAUUGCUUCAAGAAGAACAAAGUUCUAGUUUUUUAUUAAAAAAAAAAAAAAGCAAAUAACAAAGUUUGAGCAUGUUACUAACUCUCUUGUGCUUUUGUGUAAGUGAAGUGAAGGAUUUUGACGGCAUAUAGUGGAUGUGAAGGCUCAUGGUUUAGUUUCUAGUAACUACUAGUGUGAAAAGUAGAAAGAACUACUGUGGCUGACCUUUUGUUAUAAUUUAAUGUAAAAGUAGAAAGAUUGCUCUUUUAAGUUAAAGAUGGUAUUGUGUUGUUCUAUUAUUCUAUUAGAUAAGUAUGUCCGUGCCAUAUUCCUCUUGAAAGGAGGACAUAGUCUCACUAUUAGGAAUCCUCUCAAUAUUGCAAUAGGAAUAUCUUAUAUUACUCUUUCUUAUCAAAUGCCAUAAUCCAUUGAUGGGGUGCCAUAGUCUAAAUGUAAUGGAUCCUCUGAAUAUUGAUAUAAGGACGGGUAUGGCGAAUAACUAAAUCUGGGAGUGAGUCGUGUUUAAUUUAUUGAAACUCAGUGCUCCAACUUCUCAAGUUAUUCUUUCUUUCCAGUUGUGAGAGAUUGCAGUCAAAUAAACUUAAACAAUCUUGAGUUGAUAUUAGAAGAACAAAAA
rnacentral:lncRNA from 1 species